rnacentral:misc_RNA from 1 species
UACGAGGGGUGCAAGCGUUAUUCGGAAUGACUGGGCGUAAAGGGUGUGUAGACGGCAUAUUAAGUCUUUUGUUAAAUACCUCAGCCUAACUGAGGAUCAGCGAGAGAAACUGAUAAGCUAGAGGUUGGAAGAGAGAAGUGGAAUUCUCGGAGUGGCGGUAAAAUGCGUAGAUCUCGAGAGGAACACCAAUGGCGAAGGCAGCUUCUUGGUCCAUACCUGACGUUGAGACACGAAAGUGUGGGGAGCAAACAGG